UUUUGUGUUUGGAAUUGGUCACUACAAAAACCAACAAAUCCAACCUAAAGAAGGAUGCCAUUUCACACGCUAAAGUGAAAGAAAUAUAUGAGAGAUGUACUAUGAUUCCCAUGUGACACCCAAUCUCACAAUCAUGCUACAGUAACAAGACGCAAGGCACUUCAAUCUUAUAUAUUCAACCCCCCCUCACCCCUACUUCCCCACUGCCCCCAGAUCAAAACUCUCUCUCUCUUUCUCUCUCUCCAGCAAGCACAAAACUGAAACCAAGUCUCCUCCUCCCUACCCCUUAAUUAGCAAAUUCUACACAACACCUCAAAACUCUUAACCAUCAUGCCUAACGAUCAACUUGAGAUGAAGGCCAUGAAAAAGAAAAAGAAAAAGAAGAGGCAUGAUAUCGUGGGUUAGCAGAAAGUUGGAAUAGGAGGAAUCGGUAAAAAGAGGUGUAAAAUAUUGGAAUAACUACAUUUUAGUCCCUAAAGGUUUAGUGCGAGUAUCGAAAUGGUUCCUAAGAUUUCAAUUUCAUCAAUUUGAUACCCAACAUUUCAAAGUAUGACCAAUUUACACUGGCCGUUACAUUGACCGUCAAAGUCAGACAUUAAAUGUUGACGUGGCAGUCAUGAGACCCACCUCAUAACCUAGCAGCAGUUCGAAAGAGACGAGAUGAAGACGGGCUGGCCCAGCACGGCACGAGCCCAUCCCAUUUAAAUGAGACACGGCACGACACGAGCAAGAAUAUUAGUGGACCAUACUCGGCGAGGCAUAAAAGCUUGGGCUGGGCCGCGAUCAAAAAAUGAGGUCCAAUGGACCAAGUUGGCCUGUGGCCCGACAUGAGCUGAGCUUGACCUGAGUCCGCUUCAAGCACGGCCCGAACCUGGCCCACUUAAUCUUUUUUUUUUUUUAGGUCAACGAUUGCAUGAUAUAUUAGUUUUAGUACUUUUCUUGAUUGCCCUCUCCUAUCAUAACAGUUCUUUUUGCAAGUGCAUGUUUCUUUCCUCCCCACUACCGAAAAAAAGUCUCUUUAGGCUAGGCUGUGUUGUCCAAAAUGUGAGAGUUUUAAGAAAUAAUGAAAAAUUCAUAUCCAAGUCUGUUCAAAGUCAUUUCAUAUAAACCAACUGAGCAUGUUCGUAGACUUGUGCCCUAAUCUGAUCGUAGGACAUAUGUAAGCCGUAUGUGGUAUGAUUCAAGUUCUUGUAAUCCAGACUGCCAUUUUUUUCUCUCUUUAAAUGAAAAUUCAACCAGUUGUGCUUGGCUUGUAUA